UGGCGAUGAUGGUGGCCAGGAUCAUGUACUCGAACGGAGUGAGAGGUCAAGGAAUUAACGGGUAAUUAACGGGUAAUUAACGGGUAAUUAACGGGUAAUAACGGCAAUAAUGGCUAAUUAACGGGUAAUUAAUUAACGGUGGCGAUGAUGGUGGCCAGGAUCAUGUACUCGAACGGAGUGAGAGGUCAAGGAAUUAACGGUAAUUAACGGUAAUUAACGGGUAAUUAACGGGAAUUAACGGGAAUUAACGGGGAAUUAACGGGGAAUUAACGGGGUUAUAGGAUAUCCUAUAGGGCAUUCUAUGGGGUGGAUAUGGCCACUCUGUGAUCCUCUUGGCUAUGGGGGUGGGCUAUGGGGUGGGUUAUAGGGGUGGGCUAUAGGGUCAGUCUAUAGGGUGGGUUAUGGGUCAGUCUAUAGGGCAGUCUAUGGGUCAGUCUAUGGGGCGGAUAUGGCCACUCGGUGAUCCUCUUGGCUAUGGGGUCAGUCUAUAGGGCAGUCUAUAGGGUGGGUUAUGGGGUGGGCUAUAGGGCAGUCUAUGGGGUGGGCUAUAGGAUAUGGCCACUCAGUGAUCCUCUUGGCUAUGGGGUCAGUCUAUGGG
rnacentral:lncRNA from 1 species